GUUGAAGUUAAAUUUAAAUUAGUACUCCUAUUACUCCAUUAGAUGAAUAGUAAUAAUUACAUUAGUACUCCUAUUAGAUGAAUAGUAAUGCAUUUAUAAAUAUAUUCGUUUUGUACCACAAUUCAACCAAACCAAAGUAAAUUCACAAAAAAAUGUGUAUAGAUCGUUUGCUAGUGGUGCUAUCGUUGGUUGGCCUUGCCCCAAAUGUAGAGCAGCAGAAAUAUGCAGUAGUUUUGGAUGUGUUCAACUUCGACGGCGACAUGGGUCUCCUCCCGAUUGACCAAGAAUUCGAGUUUUAUCAAGCGAUUACACCAGGUCUGAGUUCAUACGCAGAUGAUGCAGCCGGCCGCUCUUAGACCAAGCCGAGCCAGUUGCUUAAACUCGGGGCUUUAUCAUAUUCAGUCGGACGAGUUUAAAAAAGACUUUCAAAAUGACUCUCGAUGGGAUUAUCCAGGCUAUUCAGGAAGAAUCGCAGCAAAUGAGUUCUAAUGUUUCAUCGUAAUAUUGGUGCUAGCAUUGAUAGGCCUAACGACUCGGAAUGGUGAGAUGAUUGUGUAAAGCAAUCGGCGUGUGGUUUAUAGAUCAAAUGGACUCUCUCCUUGCUAAUAUUUUGGAAUGAGUUCUAAUAUUUCGUCUCUAACGAUAGUGCUUUCAUUGAUAAAGUCAUCAACAACGCUGUCUCUUAUCCGUCUCAUCUCUUCACUAUUCAUGGGUCCCGUUGUACUUUUCAUCACACCUCUUAACUAAGAGACAACAUCUGCAACCC